rfam:Buttiauxella agrestis ATCC 33320 GBAG.assembly.074, whole genome shotgun sequence.
AGUUAUUUGCGUAGGGUACAGAGGUAAGAUGUUCUAUCUUUCAGACCUUUUACUUCACGUAAUCGGAUUUGGCUGAAUAUUUUAGCCGCCCCAGUCAGUAAUGACUGGGGCGUUUUUUA